rnacentral:rRNA from 1 species
GAUGAACGCUGGCGGCGUGCCUAAUACAUGCAAGUCGAGCGAACAGACGAGGAGCUUGCUCCUCUGACGUUAGCGGCGGACGGGUGAGUAACACGUGGAUAACCUACCUAUAAGACUGGGAUAACUUCGGGAAACCGGAGCUAAUACCGGAUAAUAUAUUGAACCGCAUGGUUCAAUAGUGAAAGACGGUUUUGCUGUCACUUAUAGAUGGAUCCGCGCCGCAUUAGCUAGUUGGUAAGGUAACGGCUUACCAAGGCAACGAUGCGUAGCCGACCUGAGAGGGAGAGCGGCAACACGAGAAGUGGCAGACGGACCAGACACAGAAGGAGGGCAGAAGAAGGGAAAUGUCCUCAAGGGGGGAAAAACUGACGGAAAAAGGCGGGGGGGGGGAGGAAGGUGUGAGGACAAAAAAACUCAUUUAUAGGGGAAAAAAAAUAAUAAAAAUAAGUGUACACAUCUUGAAGGGACUUAUCGAGAAAACCACGGAUAACUAAGU